CAGGGAGACAACAAAAUGUUAAAUAUUAUAAUUUUGUCACCUUAGGUCGAUCGGUAUCUCACGUUUUUAAUUUAUUAAGAAUUUCAUUUCCUAAGUUUUUCUAGGUCACACCCAUUAUUUUUCCUGGGCCAUUAGCUCAGGUGGUUAGAGCGCACCCCUGAUAAGGGUGAGGUCCCUGGUUCAAGUCCAGGAUGGCCCAUAUCUCUAUGUUGGGGGUAUAGCUCAGUUGGUAGAGCGCCUGCUUUGCAAGCAGGAUGUCAGCGGUUCGAGUCCGCUUACCUCCACUGAUUACCACCUCUUCCAUAAUUUUUAUUAGGGAAUUGUUUUGAGUAGUGAUCAAAUUCUGAACGAAUCUAGCUUCCUAAUGAAUUAAUUAAGAUGCUGGACUCAUUGAAUUAAUUUCAUUGUUUUCAGAGAACCUUGACAACUGCAUAGAUUAUUUUUAAAGACAAUAAGCAUCUUUAUGAUGCAGAUUUAUUAUUUGUGCGAAUGCAUUAAUAACAAUUCUAUUAAGCUGAUGCUUCAAUUAUGAAGUUAUU
rnacentral:tRNA from 1 species